UACGAAGGGGGCUAGCGUUGUUCGGAAUUACUGGGCGUAAAGGGCGCGUAGGCGGUACUUCAAGUCAGGCGUGAAAGCCCCGGGCUCAACCUGGGAACCGCGCUUGAGACUGGAGAACUAGAGUUCGGGAGAGGAUGGUGGAAUUCCCAGUGUAGAGGUGAAAUUCGUAGAUAUUGGGAAGAACACCGAUGGCGAAGGCAGCCAUCUGGACCGACACUGACGCUGAGGUGCGAAAGCGUGGGGAGCAAACAGG
rnacentral:rRNA from 1 species